rfam:Trichobilharzia regenti genome assembly, scaffold: TRE_scaffold0000282
GUACUGGUGAAGAGUCCCAAACUAGGAUGAAACAGCUGUCCAGUAC